rnacentral:lncRNA from 1 species
UAACAUCAUAAAAGGAAAGUAACAAAGUUUCCAAGAUUCAACUCAAACUGCAAUUAAAAAUUAAAUCACCAACCCCACCCUAGUGUUACAAUAUCAGAGCUCGUAGCGACUACAACUUAUUCAACUACUAAACAAAAAAACCAAACGGAAGGCAUCCCAUCAUCUCCAUCCUCUAAAACGUCCCACAACUACUCCUUGUCAACCUGAGUAUCUGUACUCAGGGUACAAUCACCGUUCAGAAAACAACACAACAAAAUAAAGGGUAAGAAAUCCUGCCAUAACAAAAUAAUAGGGAAAAGCAUGCACAUUAAAUAAAUAUCAAAAGAAUACAUUCUCCACUAUCUCAUCAUUCUCAAUAGUUACUAUGUAUAAUCUCUUCAUUUUACAUGUCACAGCAACACAUCAUAUUCACACUCAAACACCCAAUACAACAUCAUCAUAUAUAUGCAUAUGGACUCUCCUAAUGACGUAUAUGAUUGUGGUACCACACCUAUCGUCAUAAUUUUCCAGAGCUAUAUUACUGGACUUUCAUCGUCAUAAUUUGCCAGAGAUAUGUUACUGAACUUUCAUCGUCAUUUCGUCAUCAUGAUUCCUAAACACGACUCUAUAUGCAUGCAUGAGACAGACUCUUCAAGUAUUAAAAGAUCAUAACAUCAUCAACAAAUUAGAAUCAUAAAUUCGGACUCUUCCUAUUAUGCACAACAUCAAGACAAAUACAUCAUCGUCAUUCACAUCAUCAUUAUAAGUAAACAUCGUCAUUCUCAUCAUCAAUGUAUAUUAGACACCAUCAUAUAAGUCAUCAUCAUAAUUAUACGUCAUCAUUGUCAUAGUCAAUAUAUAUAUAUACACACACCACCCUCAUCAUCAUCAUAGGUAAACAUCAUUACUCUCAUCAUCAUACUGAUAUAGUUAUCGUCAUCAUCAUCAUCACUAACAUAUAAACAUUAUCAUUUCUCAUCGUAUUUAUUUAAUUACAUAUAUAUAAUAUCUUCGUCAUCACUCUUCGUCACAUUAUGGAUUCCUCAUUAUUCAUCUCUAUCAACCGUUUAUAUCACCAUUGCAUCUCUUCACUAAUCCAACCCUUAUGCGUAAUUCAAUUCUACGUCAGCUUCCCUAUAUUUUAUUUUCGUAUUCAUUUUACGAACAUACAUUAUUCUCUCGUCUAUUCUAGGCUCUAUAAACUUUAUUCCUAAUAUCAUACCCUAUUCCUCAUUCUUGGUCUCAAGUUGUUUUCUUAUUCGCUAUCAUUACAUGCAAAGUCUCCACUCUAUAUAUCUAGGUUUUUCCUCACAAUUGUUAUUAACUGUUUCCUACUUAUUCUCCUCAAUAAAACGACUUUAUAUCUUAUUAGUUGUUCUCACGUUCGUCGUCAUCUAUACAUCGUCCGUCCCCUAAUCUUAACUUCAUUUUAAUUUUAAAGUUAUUAUCUAACCUAAUACUUCAUUAUAAUUUGAGGUUUCAUUCUCUUAAUACCGGUCGUUAUUAUAUUCGUCACUCAUUACAACUACUACCUCUUAUCCUCUUUCCUAUGCAUCUUGAUCCCUGCUAAUCGAUCCUCUUCAUAUUCAUCGUUAUCAUCAUUCCUGUUAUGUUUUCAGUCCUUAAUAUACAACUCCUUACCUUCCCUUACAUUUCUUCUUAACGAUCUUCUCAUCGUUUAUGAUCAUAUUCUUUAUUCAUUUUUUACACCUUAUACGUUACUAUCUAACACUCAUCUUAAUUUCUUUAACUACCUUGGUUCAUUCGCUCUUUCACUCAACGGUAUUCUUAGACUCAUUAUUGGUUUAAGGAGAUCAUAUUUCAACUCAUUAGUUAUUCAGAAAAGAACCUACUUCACAUCCCAUAUUAUCAUUGUCUUAUACCCUUUUUACUAAAUCGUGUGUUUUUAGUCUCACCAUAUACCCACACUAUUUGCUCUAGUAAUUUCUCGUCUUAUUACCCUUAAUCAACUUGAUAUCCUUUCUCAAUGAUAUUAGCAUCCCCUAAAUUACCCAAUGCUUUAACUCCUACUCAUAACAUAACCCACUUCAUCAUUUACUCGUCACCCAAAACAAGACAUGUCAUCGUCAUUACUCGUCAUUCACAAAACAUCAUUAAUUAUGAUAUCAUUCAUCCUCACCAUUCAACAAUUAUUAUCUGAACAUAGAUCCCCAUCACACGACAAUAAGUUCUCAGCAUUAAUCAACAUCUUAUACGGGCAUAUGUACACAUCAUAUUCCUUCGUUACUCAUUACUGCAUUUUAGAAUCUACUCUCGUCAUUCGUUCUCUCCAUUACCACGUCUUUCACCCUAGUAGUAUACCCCGUUAUCCAUUCUAAUUUAAGUAUUAACCUCUCAAUUAAUAUUCCUCAUAGCGUCUACCGUAUUUAUCUUUCGCUUUCUAUUUUCAAGCCAUCUUGACACAAUUAGAUUCUCAUAGGUUACUAUCCUCGGUUUCUAAUUACGCUUAAACCCACUCCUUCAUUAAGUUAUAUAGUUUAGGACCCUUACUCUUACCUUUCUCUUUAACAACCUUCUUAAACUCUAUUAUUUUCUAGGACGUUUUAAGGCUCAUUGAACAGAUUAUGAUGAAGUUUCACAAAAAACGAAGCAUGACCCUAGUACGGUAAUUUGACCAUAACUCAAGUUGUAUAGGUCUGGUUGAGGUGAAACCAAAGCCAUCGGAAUGGAAAAUGGUUACAAAUAAAAGUUUUUGUUUGUUAAGUUGUGCUGACAAAAUCAGGGGCCGAAUUUACAAAAUCGGGGCCCGAUUUUUGUCGAAUCAAAACACUAAGAAAGGAGUUUUUCCCCAAUUAAUCACUUUUGAAUCACUUAACUCAAUCCCUACACACCCAAAUUGUCCUUAAUCAUCACUCUAGGUUUACCCUACUAUUUGAGUGUUAAUUCCCUCUCAAAGUAUCCAAUUUUACACUAUUUCAGGGUCAAGUUAUGAACUCUAAUCUCUAAACUAGGUUCCCUUUAUAUUACUCUUUCAACAACAAUUCUACAUUCAUUCAUCAUAAUUUUUCAGUGGAACUCUUCCUCAUAACAGCAAUCAUAACUUAAGAAUUAAUUAACCUCAACAACGUCCUCAUCACCAUCAUAACAACACUCAUACUCUAACCCCUUUACAACCCUACAGAAAAAUAUUAAACCCUAGAGAUGAAGAGAUUCUCCCCCUUACCUCGAUUUCUUCUGAAAUUUCCAGCUUGGCUUGAUCCCGUCGCAACUAGGGUUUCUCUCCUAUGCUCCUUUUUUUCUUUCUUUUUUCACGUUCAACAAAAGUGACUCUUCUAACUUCUAAUGUUUCUAUUUAUACGUUGGUCAAUCACAUGUUAUAACUUUCUUCUCCUUUAUUCACUAUACUUU